rnacentral:tRNA from 1 species
AGAACUAUAUUUAAUUAUAAUAAUUGAUUUGCAAUCAUUAGGUACUAAAUUUUUAGUUAGUUUUA